CGGCAACAGCUCAAAUUUGAAAUCUGACUUCUUUGGAGUCCGAGUUGUAAUUUGUAGAGGAUGUUUCGGGCACCGCAUCAAUUUAAAUUUCUUGGAACAGAAUGUCAUAGAGGGUGAGAAUCCCGUCUGGAAUUGAUGUAGGGUCCAUGUGAAACUCCUUCGAC
rnacentral:rRNA from 1 species